rnacentral:rRNA from 1 species
AGAGUUUGAUCAUGGCUCAGAGCGAACGCUGGCGGCAGGCUUAACACAUGCAAGUCGAGCGCCCCGCAAGGGGAGCGGCAGACGGGAGAGUAACACGUGGGAACGUGCCCUUUGGUCUGGAAUAACUCAGGGAAACUUGAGCUAAUGCCGGAUACGCCCUUCGGGGGAAAGAUUUAUCGCCAUUGGAGCGGCCCGCGUCUGAUUAGCUAGUUGGUGAGGUAACGGCUCACCAAGGCGACGAUCAGUAGCUGGUCUGAGAGGAUGACCAGCCUCAUUGGGACUGAGACACGGCCCAAACUCCUACGGGAGGCAGCAGUGGGGAAUAUUGGACAAUGGGCGCAAGCCUGAUCCAGCCAUGCCGCGUGAGUGAUGAAGGCCUUAGGGUUGUAAAGCUCUUUUAGCAGGGAAGAUAAUGACGGUACCUGCAGAAAAAGCCCCGGCUAACUUCGUGCCAGCAGCCGCGGUAAUACGAAGGGGGCUAGCGUUGCUCGGAAUUACUGGGCGUAAAGCGCACGUAGGCGGACUCUUAAGUCGGUGGUGAAAUCCUGGAGCUCAACUCCAGAACUGCCUUCGAUACUGGGAGUCUUGAGUUCGGGAGAGGUGAGUGGAACUGCGAGUGUAGAGGUGAAAUUCGUAGAUAUUCGCAAGAACACCAGUGGCGAAGGCGGCUCACUGGCCCGAUACUGACGCUGAGGUGCGA